AUCUAACUGAUGAGUCUUAAACAGGACGAAAUGCGCGUUCUGAAU
rnacentral:hammerhead_ribozyme from 1 species